rnacentral:rRNA from 1 species
CACGUAGGGGGCAAGCGUUUGUCCGGAUUUAUUGGGCGUAAAGAGCUCGUAGGUGGCUUAGUAAGUCGGGUGUGAAACCUCCAGGCUCAACCUGGAGACGCCACCCGAUACUGCUAUAGCUUGAGUCCGGUAGGGGAGCGUGGAAUUCCUGGUGUAGCGGUAGAAAUGCGCAGAUAUCAGGAGGAACACCAGCGGCGAAGGCGGCGCUCUGGGCCGGUACUGACACUGAGGAGCGAAAGCGUGGGGAGCAACAGG